AAGAGGAGAGCAUUGGAUCCAUGGAGCUGUGGAAUUCCACGAAACUCCUGAAUGCUGUGGCGGAACAAAGCGGCUCUCAAACAGCCUUCAAUGUGAAGGAAUGCCUAAUGAAUCCGACAACUGCCAGCAAAUGGAGUAGAAAGAGCCUCCGCAGGCUACAGGAGGCCGCAGGACUAGACACUGUUAAGCCGGUCGAUAGCCCCAAGAACUUGCAACGUCUAGGACCUGGAACUGGAGCUGGAACUGGCGCCUCCUCGUAUAAAUCGAGGAAAGAAAUUGGAGUUCGUAAAAAAAAGAAAACCCCAUUGACCUCCAAAGGGAAAUUGAUGAAAGAACGUGCCGAACGAAUGGAGAUGGAAAUCAAUGAUCUAAAAAAGUCUCAAACCGAAACCGAAGCCAAAGAACCUUUGCCCAAUAACAGCACCUACUCCUUGGGGGAAUCCCAUCAGAAUGAUCCGAAAUCUGCAGUCGUUGGAGANCGAGAAACCCUCAAGUUCCAGUGAAAACAAUAACCUGGCAAAAGAUCUGACCGUGAUAUAUGAAAAUCCCAAUUUUAUACAGAAAACGGACUCCAAAGGCAAUUGUGUCAUAAAAAAGCUGAAUCAAAGCCAAACGAAUUACUUUGAGUUGAAGGAUACACGUUCAAAGGUGGAGCAUAAUCCAAAGGAAUUGGCUGUAAUUGANACUAAAAUCUGAAGCCGAGAAGAGCCUCUUGCGAAGCUGCUUGGUCCAAAACGAAGACACCCUCAAGGCGAUCCAAUCAUCGUUGAAGCUCGUCAAAGAACUGCGCCAAGAGCUUGAGGGCCUAAAGACCAAUAGGAGUAUCAAAUUCUUCGAUAUAUCAAUACCAAAAGCACAAAAUCAAGCCAAAUCAAAGAAGUCCUGACAUAAAAUCAACUAAACGAAAAUACCAGAAAUAUCGGAACCUUGGGACACGCUGGGACUAUCCAGCAUACAAUCUUCUAGUUCUGAAUCGGGAAAAGAUGAUUCGUUGGGUUUUAUUUUCACUCCCAAAAUUCAAACUGUCUCUGGAAAGUUUUUUUCAAAUAUAUAUUAUCUAUUUUGUUAUAUUUUA
rnacentral:sRNA from 1 species